UUUCUCUUUGUUGAGACAAAAUACCCAACACUUGAAGUUAAAGGAGGAAAGAUUUAUUUUGGCUCACAGUUUGUGUAGGUUUCAGUUCAUAGUUGGCUGACUCCAAGGCAGGGUGGCGCAUGGCAGAGGGGUAUCACAGAGCAGGCCAGCAGAAGGCAACAAGCAACAAGCACGAAAUAAGUAAUAACCAGAGAUCUUUCUGUCCCUUCCAUCUUUUCCAGGCUACUCAUCCUUAGGGCAGAUAGCACUCACACCCAGGGUGGGGCACCCUUAAUCCUACUCAGAGCUAUGUCAAUGGGAAGAGUGGCAGGUGUUUUGGCAGUGUAAUAACCUACCAUAUGACAUUGUCUGCAUGGUUUGGGAACCACUGAGGAAAGAUGCUUUUAUAGAAAAGAGAAGAAGCAGAUACAAAAAGUGAGAUGUAUGAGAUCAAGAUUUUAGGAGAAGAGCCACAGCUGACUACGAGGAUGCACGACCACAGAGUAAAAGCAAUGGAAUUUCUCACCUAUCCCAAAGACAAGAUGAGAUUCCAGUUGACAGAUGAGAUGACUGGAUUCAUAGGAUGGUUGUGCAGACAUUGGAAGGUAUGCAGUGCAGUGCUUGACACAUGACAAUAAAAACUUAGUAAGCACUCAAUGGUUUCAUAUAGCCCUGCGCCGCACUGGAACUGAGACAACCUUGACUUUGAGGAUUAUCUCUGAGUGAGAUAAUAGGAAAGAUCUGAUGGAAGAAAAUCCUUACCUGACACCUAACACAGCAUGAUACCUGAGAGUGUGAAAAUGCCAUUUACCCAGUGAGGGGACAGUGCCUGCUAGAAGAAAAGCUUUAACUCAAGCAGUAUGGCCGUGAGAAUAGAGAAAUCUUCCACAUGUUAUUUUGCUUCUCUGCCUGCUGGCUGAUGGGAGAAGACUCUAGAAACCUAUGAGAGAGAAGAGCUGUAGACAGAAGAAGCCUGAAUCAGAACCUGUCAUCAGUCCUUGGUACUAUAUCAGAUGUAAGGAAGUAGUAUUGAGCCAUUGAAACUUGGGGGGAUGCUGUUCAGCUCUUAGCCUGAUUUGACUAAUGUUCCUUAUAGGAUUAUUAAGAAUAUCACAAGAGGAAUAGUUUGUUAAGUAAAUGGCAGUUACCAUCACUGUCAUUUUUCACAUAUAUAAACCUGUAAGGAUUCAGGCAUUAUAGGUGCUAGAGAUUCCCAAAGUGACCAGACUCCACAAGAUUUGAACUAGCAGGAUGGGCUUUUUGCUAUUUUAAUUAGAUCCAUUGUUACCUUCCCAGAUUUCUUGGUGGUGUUGAUAGUUAGUUAAUUUACUGAAAGAUUUUGAGGUUACACAUUUAAUCUCUUUUCUGUCUAAUUUUACCCUUUAUCAUUGUAGCAUAUGAUAUUCCUAAUUUAAGUUUUAAAACUUACACCUGUAAUUGCAUACCAUUUUAUACCUAUGAAAAAUUAGGCUACUGCUGGUAGCCUGGUUGGUAAAAUAGAAUUUUAAUGCUAGCCACAUGGAUAAUUUUAGCAUAAAAAUUAGCAGUCACAUUUAAAAAUUUAAA